GGGGGCCCGCACAAGCAGCGGAGCGUGUGGUUUAAUUCGUUGCUACACGAAGAACCUUACCUGGGUUUGACAUAGCAGUGUAGGGAAGAGAAAUCGGACCGACCCUUCGGGGAGCUGUUACAGGUGUUGCAUGGCUGUCGUCAGCUCGUGUCGUGAGAUGUUCGGUUAAGUCCGCUAACGAGCGCAACCCGCGUUGUGUGUUAUAUGUGUCACACAAUACCGCCGGUAUUAAGCCGGAGGAAGGUGCGGAUGACGUCAAGUCAGCAUGACCUUUAUAUCCAGGGCUACACACACGCUACAAUGGACAGUACAACAGGUUGCCAAGCCGCGAGGCGGAGCCAAUCCUCUAAAGCUGUCCUCAGUUCAGAUUGCAGGCUGCAACUCGCCUGCAUGAAGUUGGAGUUGCUAGUAACCGCAGGUCAGCUAUACUGCGGUGAAUACGUUCCCGGGGAUU
rnacentral:rRNA from 1 species